UUCAAGUUUGCGUUGACUCGGCC
rnacentral:siRNA from 1 species